CUUAAGGUAAUACCUGAAAGGACUCUUUAAUAUUGUAAAAGCACAGAAGGAUGAAACACAGAGGAAAAUGCCACAGAUAACCCCACCAUUCUAAUUCAACAAUGAUGACUUACAUUGCCUUCAUCUUUUUCAUAGUCUCCGAGUGGCCUUGUCUGAUGACGCAAUUGUUGUCGUCGUUUUUCAACAGGAGAGCAUGAAGUCGUCGCUGUGAGCACCUAGCAACAUCAAGGCCGAGCUGAUAGGCGCCAGAUGAACUAGACACUCAGCAGUGUGUGGGGAAGACCUUCCUGUGUCCUGCUUCACUUUCCAGUGUCCGGCCAGACCUUCAUGUAGGUGAAAAACCUAUUUAUUAUCAUCAGAGCCUGUUUUACAGGCCAUUGAGACUGUUUGUUACGCACCAGUAACUGAUUGAUACAAGGAGGCAUUGGCUUUGGAUAAGAUUGACAACCACUGCAUUCUACUGUCACUCCUGUAAACUUAAAGCA